AUUGAACGCUGGCGGCAUGCCUUACACAUGCAAGUCGAACGGCAGCACGGGAGCAAUCCUGGUGGCGAGUGGCGAACGGGUGAGUAAUGUAUCGGAACGUACCUUUCAGUGGGGGAUAACGUAGCGAAAGUUACGCUAAUACCGCAUAUUCUGUGUGCAGGAAAGCAGGGGAUCGCAAGACCUUGCGCUGAUUGAGCGGCCGAUAUCAGAUUAGCUAGUUGGUGAGGUAAAGGCUCACCAAGGCGACGAUCUGUAGCGGGUCUGAGAGGAUGAUCCGCCACACUGGAACUGAGACACGGUCCAGACUCCUACGGGAGGCAGCAGUGGGGAAUUUUGGACAAUGGGGGCAACCCUGAUCCAGCCAUGCCGCGUGAGUGAAGAAGGCCUUCGG
rnacentral:rRNA from 1 species